AUGGACACGCCCGCGACAAGGGAGCUAAUCGACGCCAGACGAGAGCCAUGCUUCGUCGCCUCCCAGGGCCACCUGGUUCACCAUCCGAAUCUGCCGCUAAAGAGGGCAUCCCCGCCCUCUCGUCCUGGGUCGAAGGAUGUCGACCCAUCAGCAGACAAAGCAGCUCACCCCCAAGCACGCUUGGACCGGCGAACCAGUUGCCGAGGAGAGAGCGACCGCCCUAGUGACUCACCUGUGAAAGAAACCCAUACAUCGCCACCGUCUCCGGCCAAGACCCAGAAGCCCACCGCAGCUGUCGAGCAUGAACCCUACUAA
rnacentral:rRNA from 1 species